CAACUAAGUUCCGAUUAUAAAUGUACUUAGUGUUAGCUUUAUAUUGUAGACUUCUGGAAGAAAGUAUGUCCGGGGGCGGGGCUAGGGGGAAACAGAUCCCCAAACAGAGUUGGACACAACACCGGCAUUACUUUUGAAAACUGCCACAGCAGAAGAAAAUCCUCACAACUGUAACGUUAGCAGAAGAGACUGAACAAGCUUUGUCUAAAUAACUAAGCGCUAGGCAACUAACACGUCGAGCUAACAGGUUAGCUAGCUAGCACGUUACAAGCAGGUUAGCUGAUGUUAUGCUAUAAAUUUAGUUUCGGUUUCACUUUAUAAUUAUCAAAUGUAAACACAAAGUCUACCGCUAACAAAAUUAGCUCGCAGGUAAGCUAACAACGGUAUUAAGUUAAUGUUCGGGGUGAAAUGGUGUGCAUUUUUGCUCUACAUGAACAGAAAAGUGGAAAUUAUGUCCUUUUCUCCACAAAAAUAAAAAGAAUGAUGAGGCAGUGCUUGAUGAUCCAGAUGUCAAGAAAGAAGCAUCAGAAAAGGAAGAGAAACAGCAAGAGAAAGUGGACGGAAAGCCAGAGGAUUUGUUAGUGGAAGGUUAUUAAAGUAAGGGCACAGAACAGGAAGUAAAAUCAGAAGCACCUGACAGUGAGGCUGAAGAGGACACAGGUGAGGAGGAGGACAUCCACAAGCAGUAGACCAUCAGGUGUGUGAUGUUGGAAACAUGUUUAUCUGUGUGUAAAGCAGUGUAAUUACUGUUCAUAUGGUGGGAGUGUGUAGUCUUAUGAUUUACAUUACUCAUAAACUCAUGUCAUGUCAUUGCUCUAUCAAGAUAAAUAUUCCUUUAGUGUUUCUUCAUCACUACAUGUGCUCCAUAUUGGUUUGUCUUUAUCCACAGAGAUCAGCUAGUGUAGAGACUCAUCAAUUCAGAAUCUGAAGUUUUCAAGGACCUUGAUGAAGGACAGGAGAAGAAUCUUUACAGCAGUCUGCUUUGUACUCUCUUGGCAUUCUCUCAGCCAGCCUCAGGUAGUCUCUUGGAUUGGUUUUCUAACAAUCUUGAAGGAAUUCUCAGAGGUGUUGAGGACUUGAUGGCUGCCCUUCCUUCACUCUCUGGUCCAACUCAUCACAAACCACCUCAGCUGGGUUUAGAUCAGUAAAUAAUGCUGACUUAAUGGAAAUCAUACUCCGGACUCAGAAUGUCACUUAUGGACUAAUUAUCCAGUAUCCACUCAUCCAUUACUUAUACAGAUGGGAUUCAGCCUCCAGAGCCCUCACUCCAUGUUUUUUUUCUAGCAGUCUAAACACCCUAAAAAUUUAACUUUUGUAGAUUUCUGGUUUAAUCACAGCAAACCCUUAUGAGUGAUCAUCAGGACUAACUAAGGUCUAGGAACA